UACGUAGGGUGCGAGCGUUAAUCGGAAUUACUGGGCGUAAAGCGUGCGUAGGCGGUUCGGCAAGUCGGGUGUGAAAUUUCGAGGCUCAACCUCGAAACGCCACUCGAUACUGCUGUGACUGGAGUCCGGUAGAGGAGUGCGGAAUUCCUGGUGUAGCGGUGAAAUGCGCAGAUAUCAGGAGGAACACCAACGGCGAAGGCAGCACUCUGGGCCGGUACUGACGCUGAGGAGCGAAAGCGUGGGGAGCAAACAGG
rnacentral:rRNA from 1 species